rnacentral:rRNA from 1 species
CCCUUAGAUGUCCUGGGCGGCCCGCGCGCUACAAUGUCAGCUACUGAAGGUUAAUGCUUUGAAAGAGAGCGCGCUCUCCUUUUAAUUGCUCGCAUGCUGGGAUAAAUGAAUGCAAUUUUGUUUUGAACGAGGAAUUCCUAGUAGCCAUGUUUCACUAGAAGAUGGCGAAUGCGUCCCUGCCCUUUGUACACACCGCCCGUCGCUCCUACCGAUGAGCGUUUUGGCGAAGACGGUUUGAGUAGCUGCGUAAUUUCGUGUUGUUGACUCCGGCAGUUUGAGCCUGCACGUUUAGAGGAAGGAGAAGUCGGAACA